GCGUCGUGAGCUCACGUUGGCCGAGCGCCUGCCUUCCAAGCAGGAGGCCGUCGGUUCGAUUCCGAUACGACGCA
rnacentral:tRNA from 1 species